ACUAUGUAAACAAAAAACAACAAACCCAGACCGUAAGGAUGCAUAAUAAUGCACGACAAGCAGCAAGCCAAAAUACGACAGGCAGACAUAUAGAAAAGAAAGAAA